CUGUGCAAUGCGCGAAAGCGCGACACGGGAAGCCUGAGUGCCUUAACUAUGUUAAGGCUUUUCUUGAUCCUAAAAAGCUCAAGGAAUAAGAGCUGGGUAAGACGGGUGCCAGCCGCCGCGGUAACACCCGCGGCUCGAGUGGUAGUCACUUUUAUUGAGCCUAAAGCGUUUGUAGCCGGAUUUGUAAAUCUCUAGGAAAAUACUUCUGCUCAACUGAAGAAAUUUUGGAGAGACUGCAAAUCUAGGGACCGGGUGAGGUUGAAUGUACUUCUGGGGUAGGGGUAAAAUCCUGUAAUCCUGGAAGGACGACCGGUGGCGAAGGCGUUCAACUAGAACGGAUCCGACGGUGAGGAACGAAGGCUAGGGGAGCAAACCGGAUUAGAUACCCGCGUAGUCC
rnacentral:rRNA from 1 species